AUGAACGGGAAUAAACAUUGUGAAACUCUCUGGUCAAGUUGCAUGGAAAGUGCUAAGACAAAGAAAAGAAUAGCUGCGAAGGAACUUAAUUUUAAAGUUGAGUAGAAACUCACUGUCAGAUACGAUCAUGUUCAAAGUAGCGUAUGGGAUGUCUUAUGAAUAUUGUCCUCAAGAACAUAAAAGUUGAAGGAAUAUUUCUACAUGUUUGAGCACUCUGGGGACUCUAGUGUAAAACAGCAACAAUGUGUAAUCAUCUGUUCUACUACCCAGUCCUGAGCCACCAUUGCACAAGAGGGUACAUUGUUAUACAAAUUGUGUAUUUAAAGCAUACAGGGUGUGUUAAAAGAAUUCAAUCCGUAGAUAUCAUCUGACCUUUAGAAUUUCCAUUGAUCCACAAGGAGGCGUAAACACAAUUAAAAGGAAUUGUGUUCUUGGAUUUACUAUGUGCACUAGCUGCCUCCUUGGGGUACAAUUACUGCUGAACCAUGCAUUUAUAGUCGAAACUUGAGUUGAUUUCAAAUGGUUUCAAUGUUUAAAUUUUUUAAUGCCCUUGGAGCAGUGUUUAGUGAUGAAUCUUGAAGAGUGUUUAGUGUAUGUGGUGUAAAGUGUGCAGGUAUAGGGUGUAUUGUGUACAGGGUGUAUUGUGCACAGGGUGUAUUGUGUACAGGGUGUAUUGUGUACAGGCUGUAUUGUGCACAGGGUGUAUUGUGUACAGGCUGUAUUGUGUACAGGGUGUAUUGUGUACAGGCUGUAUUGUGCACAGGGUGUAUUGUGCACAGGGUGUAUUGUGUACAGGCUGUAUUGUGCACAGGGUGUAUUGUGUACAGGCUGUAUUGUGCACAGGGUUAUUGUGUACAGGGUGUAUUUUGCACAGGGUGUAUUGUGCACAGGGUGUAUUGUGUACAGGAUGUAUUGUGUACAGGGUGUAUUGUGUACAGGGUGUAUUGUUUACAGGGUGUAUUGUGUACAGGCUGUAUUGUGCACAGGGUGUAUAGUGUACAAGGUGUUAAGUGUACAGGGUCUAUUGUGUACAGGGUCUAUUGUGUACAGGCUGUAAUGUAUACAGGGUGUAUAGUGUACAGGGUGUAUCAAAGAUCUUUAGAAAUUGACGUAUUGUGAUAAUUUCAAUUGCUACGACUAGGCUCGGCACACUACUGCAUAAAAUAUUGUUAGCUACUUGCAUAUACUUGCGCAAAAGCUUUUCUGAUCCUGGGAAUUUGACACAAGUUCUAACAACAAAACAUGCGCUGAAAUGUAUCACACUGAUUAGCAUCGUCAUCAGGUCUUGAAAUUUCACGAUAGGUUAGUUUCUAAAUGUCGUUAUUGAUACACCCUGUAGCUAGCCCGUUCAUCUAAACGUGCCUGCUAUAGUGUAUAUUUCGUCCACAACAGUUCGGUCGGCCUUCGCCAACGUACAGUUGUACUAUUUAGUGACAUACGUACAAUUGUACCAUCGUUAGUAUGUUAAACCUCCAAAAUGCGUUUGGCAUGACGAUUUAUUUAUGUAACAAAGGUUUGAAAAUAAUGAAUCAGCUUAAAUAGUUACAUUCCGUUUAAUAUCAUGUGGCAAUAACUUCAAAUUUAUCUGUGUAAAAUACAAAGUACUUUCAAUUAGACCUAUCCAUCUUGUUGUUAUUCUAAUUAAAUAAACCCGAUGUACAUAUAAGUUAUAACUUACCUUUUUCCUUAUAUAAA